rnacentral:rRNA from 1 species
CAACGAAUUCGUUUUGCUUAUGCGAUCGCAUGCGGGGGUGUGGCUGGCGGGGUUGGAUUGCGAGAUGUGAUUUGCAGUACCUGGGCGUCUGACGCGCAAUCCCUUGAGUCAAUGCCGGUAUGUCUCGCGCAGUCUGCGAGCUCGGCACAGCCUGGCUCCUCCGCUUGAGGCAUGUGCUGGGGUGUCGGGUGGCUGGCUUUACGCAUUAUUGUCCCCACGUUGGCAUUCCGGCUGACGGGUGACUACGCAAAGUUAGUUGGCGGGGGCCCGCAAAAGUCGCGGAGGAAGCGCCUUAAUUCGAUCNUACCGAAACACCUGACCUGGGUGAACUACCGCCGGGAAAGCUACAGAGAUUUAAUUUCGCCAAGGCCCGCCGAUAGGUGUGGCAUGGCUGUCGUCAGCUCGUGUCGUGAGAUGUUGGGUUAAGUCCCGCAACGAGCGCAACCUUUGUCCCAUGUUACCAGCGGGUUAUGCCGGGGACUCGUGGGAGACUGCCGGGGUCAACUCGGAGGAAGGUGGGGAUGACGUCAAGUCAGCAUGCCCCUUAUGUCCAGGGCUGGACACAUGCUACAAUGGCCGGUACAAAGGGCUGCUAUCCCGCGAGGGGGAGCGAAUCCCAAAAAGCCGGUCUAAGUUCGGAUUGGAGUCUGCAACUCGACUCCAUGAAGUCGGAGUCGCUAGUAAUCCCGGAUCAGCAACGCCGGGGUGAAUACGUUCCCGGGCCUUGUACACACCGCCCGUCACACCACGAAAGUUGGUAACACCCGAAGCCGGUGGCCCAACCGCAAGGAGGGAGCCGUCGAAGGUGGGAUCAGCGAUCGGGGUGAAGUCGUANCAAGGUAAAUCGAAUUCCCGCGGCC